GACAGAGGGUGCAAACGUUUGUUCGGAAUUACUGGGCGUAAAAGCGCGUGUAGGCGGCUAAGUAAGUCGGGCGUGAAAUCCCACGGCUCAACCGUGGAAGUGCACUCGAAACUGCAUAGCUAGAGUCCUGGAGAGGAAGGUGGAAUGCUUGGUGUAGAGGUGAAAUUCGUAGAUAUCGGGGAGGAACACCGGUGGCGAAGGCGGCGAUCUGGGGUCGAUACUGACGCUGAGGUGCGAAAAGCGUGGGGGAGCAAACAGG
rnacentral:rRNA from 1 species